UUUUCUACAGCCUGGGCUGACAACGCAAAUGCUUGUGCCAAGCAAUAUGCGGGAACUGGUGCCUUGAAGACUGACUUUACCAGAACUGGAAAGAGAACUCAUUUGGGACUUAUAAUGGAUGGCUGGAACUCAAUGAUACGAUAUUAUAAGAACAACUUUUCCGAUGGAUUUAGACAAGAUUCCAUAGACUUAUUUCUUGGAAACUAUUCAGUGGAUGAAUUAGAAUCUCAUAGUCCUUUAAGUGUUCCAAGGGAUUGGAAAUUCCUGGCUUUGCCUAUCAUCAUGGUUGUUGCCUUUUCAAUGUGCAUUAUCUGUUUGCUUAUGGCUGGUAAGUCUGCUCCACACAUUUGUUUCUUAGAAUGUUGACCUUUCUUUUACAACAUCUUAAGUUUUUGAGUUCACCGAACACUUGAUGUUUCCCUAUUAAAUUUAAUGGGUAAAGUGGAUGUGACAUUAGAUUGUCAUUAGAUGUGACAGGAAGAAAAAUAACAUACCUAGUAGUUUGAUGGUUGUCGUUUUUUUUAACCUCAGAUUUUAAAAACAUGUUUUUCUUAUUACUGUAAACCAAUGAGUGUCUGAGACAGGUC
rnacentral:sRNA from 1 species